ensembl:lncRNA
GUAAUGUAUGUGUUUGGUGUGGAGAGGUAAUGUGUGGAUAGGUCACGUGUGGAGAGGUAAUGUAUGUGUUUGGGCAAUGUGUGGAGAGGUAAUGUGUGGAGAAGUAAUGUUGUUUGUUUGGGUAAUGUGUGGAGAGGUAAUAAAUGUAUGUGGGUAAUGUGCGGAGAGGUAUUGUGUGUGUUUGGUGUGGAGAGGUAAUGGUUGUGUGGAGAGGUAAUGUGUGUGUCUGGGUAACGUUUGGAGAGGUAAUGUGUGUGUUUGGGUAAUGUGUGGAGAGGUAAUGUGUGUGUUUGGUGUGGAGAGGCAAUGUUUUGUGUGGAGAGACAAUGUUUGUGUGGAGAGGUAAUGUAUGUGUCUGGGUAAUGUGUGGAGAGGUAAUGUAUGUGUUUGGUGUGGAGAGACAAUGUUUGUGUGGAGAGGUAAUGUAUGUGUCUGGGUAAUGUGUGGAGAUGUAAUGUGUGUGUUUGGGUAAUGUGCAGAGAGGUAAUUUGUGUGUCUGGGUAAUGUGCAGAGAUGUAAUGUAUGUGUUUGGGUAAUGUGUGUAGAGGUAAUUUAUGUGUUUGGGUAAUGUGUGGAGAGGUAAUGUGCAUGUUUGGGUCAUGUGCGGAUAAGUAAUGUGUGGAGAGGUAAUGUAUGUGUUUGGGCAAUGUUUGGAGAGGUAAUGUGUGUGUUUGGGUAAUGUGUGGAAAGGUAAUGUGUGUGUUUGGGUAAUGUGUGGAGAGGUAAUGUGUGUGUUUGGGUAAUGUGUGGAGAGAGGUAAUGUGUGUUUGGGUAAUGUGUGGAGAGGUAAUGUAUGUGUUUGGUAAUGCGUGGAGAGGUAAUGUGUGUGUUUGGGUAAUGUGUGGAGAGGUAAGGUGUGUGUUUGGGUAAUGUGUGGAGAAGUAUUGUGUGUGUUU